UGGGGAAUAUUGGACAAUGGGCGAAAGCCUGAUCCAGCCAUGCCGCGUGUGUGAAGAAGGUCUUCGGAUUGUAAAGCACUUUAAGUUGGGAGGAAGGGCAGUAAGCGAAUACCUUGCUGUUUUGACGUUACCGACAGAAUAAGCACCGGCUAACUCUGUGCCAGCAGCCGCGGUAAUACAGAGGGUGCAAGCGUUAAUCGGAAUUACUGGGCGUAAAGCGCGCGUAGGUGGUUCGUUAAGUUGAAUGUGAAAGCCCCGGGCUCAACCUGGGAACUGCAUCCAAAACUGGCGGGCUAGAGUAGGGCAGAGGGUGGUGGAAUUUCCUGUGUAGCGGUGAAAUGCGUAGAUAUAGGAAAGAACACCAGUGGCGAAGGCGACCACCUGGGCUCAUACUGACACUGAGGUGCGAAAGCGUGGGGAGCAAACAGG
rnacentral:rRNA from 1 species